UACAGAGGGUGCGAGCGUUGUUCGGAAUUAUUGGGCGUAAAGGGCGCGUAGGCGGUGCGGUAAGUCACCUGUGAAAUCUCCUGGCUCAACUGGGAGCUUGCAGGCGAAACUGCCGUGCUGGAGUGUGGGAGAGGUGCGUGGAAUUCCUGGUGUAGCGGUGAAAUGCGUAGAUAUCAGGAGGAACACCUGUGGCGAAAGCGGCGCACUGGACCACAACUGACGCUCAGGCACGAAAGCGUGGGGAGCAAACAGG
rnacentral:rRNA from 1 species